rnacentral:tRNA from 1 species
GGUGAGAUGGCCGAGUUGGUCUAAGGCGCCAGGUUAAGGUUUAAAGCUCUUAAUACAAGAUUAUCACAGUCUCCUGGUCUAGUAAUAGGCGUGGGUUCGAAUCCCACUCUCAUCA